GUCUACGGCCAUGCCACCCUGAACAAGCCUGAUGUCUGAUCUCGGAAGCUAAGCAGGGUUGGGCCUGGUUAGUACAUGGAUGGGAGACCACCUAGGAAAACAAGAUGCUGUAGGCA
rnacentral:rRNA from 1 species